rnacentral:RNase_P_RNA from 1 species
CGAGUCGGCCGGGUGAUCGCGGCGCGAGCAAUCGCAUCGAGGAAAGUCCGGACUUCACAGGGCAAGGUGGUGGGUAACGCCCACCCGGGGUGACCCGCGGGACAGUGCCACAGAAAACAGACCGCCAGGAGCGAUCCUGGUAAGGGUGAAAC